GUAGUUCAGAGGCGCCCACCCUCACUCCGCCCAGUAGCCAUAGAGUGGCUCCACAAGGGCGGCCCAGGAAACUAUACCUCCACAGCUCGCGCUCGGCCACCCGGACUACAACACCCAGCAAGCCCUGCGGCCCCGCGUCUGACUUGCGCAGUAGCCUCCGUUGUAAAAUGCUAUGACAACAGGGCGAAGGCGGCUUGGAUUUAGGCUGGAGUGGGGUGGUGUCUUCCGCAGGCUGUUGUCUUGCAGUCUCACCCCUCUUACAGUCUCCCUGGUGGUUUCAUCCUCUCUGCGAGCAUCCAGACCUGGAGUUUUUCUCUCUUGUCUUGUGGCUUCCGAGGGAUCCAUGUCGUUUCCCCUGCUUGUCUCUGAGGGAUGACAAGUGGGUGCAGAAGAUCUUGGAGGGACUUAUUUCAACUCCGUGGAGCUUGUGUUACUGCUUGGCAGGAGUCUGUCUGUCUGCGGACGUGGAAAACUUCGAACACAAGACCAAGAGACAUUAAAUUGUACAGCAUUAUUAGCGUGUACCAAAAGAAGGGUCCGAAACCUGGGCAGCGCAUGCGCAGAAGCAAGGUUGAAAGGAAAUGUCCUUAUUUAAAGCCCGUGACUGGUGGUCUACUGUGCUGGGAGAGAAAGAAGAGUUUGAUCAGGGCUGUUUGUGCUUGGCUGACGUGGACAACAGCAGGAAUGGACAGGAUAAAAUCAUUGUGGGCAGCUUCAUGGGCUACCUGAGAAUCUUCAAUCCCCAUCCUGUAAAAACCGGAGGUGGGCCUCAGGCUGAAGAUUUACUUCUAGAAGUGCAUCUGCGGGACCCAGUGCUGCAAGUGGAAGUUGGGAAGUUUGUCUCAGGCUCUGAGAUGCUCCAUUUGGCUGUGCUGCACUCCCGGAAGCUCUGUGUCUACUCCGUCUCAGGGACAUUGGGUAAUGUGGAGCAUGGAAACCAAUAUCAGAUAAAGUUGAUGUAUGAGCACCAUCUUCAGAGGACAGCCUGCAACAUGACCUAUGGACCCUUUGGUGCUGUCAAAGGUAAUGCACUUUGAGCCGUACACAUGACAUUCCAAGUGGCAGCGUGACACCUUUUGGUCCUAUUACAAUGGGAUAUUAUGUGGUUUGAAUCUUCAAGUAUUAAGUAAGUAUUUUAGUAAAACUUUUAUAUUUAGAUACUUGAAAUCAUUUAAAAGUAUACUUUAAAAUGGGAAUGUUUGAUAGCCCCACGACUUACAUCCUUAUACCCUCUUCAGUGCUCUUUGGAAACAUCUGUGGUUGUUUGAAUGAGAACAGCCCCGCAGCCUCGUAUGUUUCAAUGCUUGCUCCUCAGUUGAUCUGUUGGGAAAGAUUAGAAGAUGUGGCCUUGUUGGAAGAGUUGUGGCAUUAGGGUGGGCUUUGAGGUUUCGAAAUCCCACGCCAUUCCUAGUUGGCUGUCGCCGUGCCUUUUGCUGGUGGGUCAGAUGUGAGCUCUCAGCUCCUAUGCCGAGCCUGCCUGUCUGCUGCCAAGCUCCCUGCUCUAAUGGUGGUUGGUUCACCCCUGAACCUAGGAGCCCCAGUUAAAUGCUUUAUUUUAUAAGUUGCCUUGGUCAUGGUGUGUUGUCAUGGCAAUAGCAAGUAAUUAAGACAAUAUGUUUUCUACAGAGUUUGUCUUAAUAAGCUAAUUAAAGGUGAGUUCUUUUAUGGUAGAGCUGGCUGCCUGCCACAACUUUCUGUGGCAUGAGAUGUUUGUUUGUUUUCUAAGACAGGGUUUCCCUGUGUAUUGUCCUGGAACAUGCCCUGAAGACCAGAAUGGCCUUGAACUCGAGAACAGUCUGCUUCUGCCUCCCAACUGCUGGAAUUAGAGGUGAAUGGCCCUCACCUCUAAUUCCACUGAAAGCCAGCAUGACGUUUUGAUCUUAGUGACAGUCCAAGCCGAACCGGCUAAAGGCAGGUGGGUGACAAACGUGCCCUCCCUGCCUCUCAUGUGGAGAGUGCCUAUGGAUUCCUUCUAGACAAGAAAGCCUGGGAACAGGGACAGAUAGGUACUUAGAUGUAGACGUGGUAAUGCUCUUCAGUCAUGAGCUCGGUCACAACAAGCCGUUACCUGAGAGGAGAAGUACCUCUUCCAGAUUCUCCCUUUACCAGGGUGCCACCUUUAUCAACAGAUGCCCCUGUUGUCUUUGGGCUUCAGGAUAAAUUCCAGGAGGUCUGUCCUCACUGCAUGUGACAUUGGCAGUUCCUUAAGUUCCUUGAAUAAGUGGGUGAUGGUUGUGUCUAGCUUACACAUAUCAUGGUCUCUGAAUGUAUAACUGCUUUUUAAUGUCUGUCUGUCUGUCUUUUUUUUUUUUUUUUCCUCUGGAGCUGAGGACUGAACCCAGGACCUUGUGCUUGCUAGGCAAGCCCACUACCGCUGAGCUAAAUCCCCAACCCCCGUCUGUCUUUUUUUUUUUUUUUUUGGUUCUUUUUUUUCGGAGCUGGGGACCGAACCCAGGGCCUUGCACUUCCUAGGCAAGCGCUCUACCACUGAGCUAAAUCCCCAACCCCCCGUCUGUCUUUUUGAGAUCUGGUCUACACUGUAGUCCAGGCUGACCUGGAUCUCACUGUGUGGGCGGGGCUUGCCUUGAACUCACAGUGAGCCUCUUCUGCACAAACUCCCCAGUGCUGGAAUCACACUUGUGCUCCAUCGCGUGUCUUCCUCUGUGUGCCUUGUAAUUCCUGGAUUACUUACACUACCUAACACACAUGAGUGCCAUGAAAAUAGUCUGAUACUGUGCAGAUAAUUACCAGAGAAAUCUUAUGGCUAUGUUCAGGGCAGGAGCAGUUCUUUCCUGAGUGUCUUGUUGAAUCCAGAAAAGGAGAAGGCUGCCACUUCUGGCUUAGACUGGUCCUCUGCCUUUGUAUGCAUCUUUUGCCAAGCAAUAAAAGACUUCCUGCUGCAUGUCCAUCUAGACACAGCUCAUGGUUUUUCACUGCAGUUAAUGUGUGUG
rnacentral:lncRNA from 14 species